rnacentral:misc_RNA from 1 species
AAGUUUUGCCGCUUUAACGUAGGCCUACUCAUUAUGUUUUGUGUGCAAAAGACUGUGGACAAAAUUAUGUAGUGUACGUUUUAAUGUAAAUAGCCCAAAUACAAAUAAUUCUAGUGUUUAUUAUUUUUAUUGAUGUAGUUACUCCAUUAUUUAAAUUUGUUGCUUUUAGAAAGACAUAGAAACAAAAAUUUACACCUAAGACUUAUUAUAAACUUUGGAGACGUUCGUCCCUAAGCAACAGAAGCAACAGGAGGUAAACUAUGAAGGUACUGCUGACUUUGAUGAGCCUGGGAUGUUUCGCUCAUUGUGCUCGGAUCCUCGCAGUGUUUCCACUCCCUAGUAAGAGCAAUAGUAUCCUACAAUACGCCAUCUUCCGUCUGUUGGCUCAGAGAGGGCACGAGGUAGUGGUAUACAGUGCCCGCCCUCCCCCGUACAGUGUAGCCAACCUCACGCACAUCGAUCUGCCUACCAGUCUCACAGAGUUGACGAGUACAUGGACGUUUGAGCAGUUCCAAGAGAUAAUGGACGAGACUCAUUUUUAUGGAUUUUCAAUGAAGAGCUUUUUUGAAAUGACAACACUGGCUUGCGAGGAUGUCCUUAAAAAGAACAAUAUAAAAGAGCUGCUUAAAUCAGACCAGCGGUUUGACCUAAUUUUUCUUGAAAUUGUGGGUCAAGAGUCUCUCUCUGUGCUGAGCCACAAGUUUAAUGCUCCUAUCAUAAAUUUCCAAGGAUUUGUUACCUGGAGUCUUGUAGAUUGGAUUUCUGGCAACUCCUUAUCCAUUUCACACAUCCCAGAAGUAGCUUCCUUUCCAUUCACGAACAACAUGUCAUUUAAGGAAAGACUACAAAACUUUUUGUCAACAGUUCUUACUUUUAUAUACUAUCACUUUGAACACCUUCCUCAUCAUCAAAAGUUAGUGGAACAAUAUUACAAAGGUCCUAGCAUGCCUCAUGUGUCAGAUAUGCUCAAUGAAGUCUCAAUAACUCUUGUAAAUUCACAAAAGACCCUAGAAUAUCCCAGGCCGUACACUCCCAAUAUGAUCCCAAUUGGGGGUGCCCAUAUGUCUACUCACAUGACUCCUCUACCUCAGGAUAUGAAAACAUUUAUUGACAAUGCUAAAGAAGGAGUGAUUUUCUUCAGCUUGGGCACAUUUGUUCCUGUACAUAUUAUGCCCAGUAAAUAUAUCCAGGCCUUCGUAAAUGCGUUUAAAAAGCUACCACAGAAGGUCCUGUGGAGAAUUGAACUUGACAAUAUACCUGGACUUCCUGAAAAUGUGAAGCUCACGAAAUGGGUGCCUCAGCCCACAGUGUUGGGUCACCCCAACUGCGUGCUCUUCCUGACUCAUGGAGGACUGUAUAGUCAACACGAGGCUUUCUAUGCAGGAGUUCCAGUAAUUGGGAUACCAUUCUUUAGUGAACAAAGAUUCAACAUGAAGUUCUAUGAAAAUCUUGGUGUCGGAAUCAAGUUGGAACUAAACGAAGUCACAGAAGAAACUGUAUACAAGGCAAUAACAACAAUAAUAAAUGAACCUAGAACAUUGACAUUAACAUGCAGUAUAUGAAGUUAAACUGUAAAUGGAGGAGAUGUGUGUAUCAAGGAAGAAAGUUGGCAUACUGGUACAAGGAGAACGCCAAGAGAGUGUCCAGUAUAGUCAGAGACCAGCCGAUGUCUCCAGCUGACACAGUCGUGUACUGGGUAGAGUACGUGUUGAGACAUGCUGGAGCUCCUCAUCUCAAGCCUGCCUCAUUGUAUCUUAG